GCCUUGGUAGUUCAGUGGCAGAACGCUUUCUUGGUAAGAAAGAGGUCUCGGGUCCGAUUCCCGAUCAAGGCU
rnacentral:tRNA from 1 species